UUUUAAACAAGGUAUUUUGCAGGAUGUGAAGCGACAGUUUCAUUUAGUUUGAUAUUCCUGUUGUACAUKAGCCCAAGUUGUAAUCGUCCCAUUGAAACCUGAGCCGAGAUGUUUGGUCCCAAACCGACACUUCAGGACCGCCAGCACCGUUACCGGCUGAUGUUCAGCCAGCUGUUGAAUGACGGUUACACCAACAUGGCUAACAACCUGAUCCCGGAGGUCAAGACGCAAAAGUGAUGAUGAAUGAAGACGGGCCCAGCAGAACACGGAGAAACCAC